rnacentral:rRNA from 1 species
GAUGAACGCUGGCGGCGUGCCUAAGGCAUGCAAGUCGUGGGACAGGUUUUUUGUAGCAAUACCGAGAAACACUGACCGGCAAACGGGAGAGUAACACAUUGAUAACUUACCUUUAAGACGAGGAUAGCCCACCGAAAGGUGGAUUAAUACUCGAUAGACAUGGGGGGGCGUGAGGCCAUUCCCAUGUAAAACUUCGGUGCUUAGAGAGAGGUCUAUGUCUGAUUAGUUAGUUGGUGGGGUAAUGGCCUACAAGACGAUGAUCAGUACCGGGCGUGAGAGCGUGACCCGGCUCACUGGGACUGAGAUACUGCCCAGACACCUACGGGUGGCUGCAGUCAGGAAUAUUCCGGCUAAUG